AAACCAGCACCUCAAGUGGUCAGGAUGAUUAUUGGGCCUAAAGCAUCCGUAGCCUGAUCUGUAAGUUUUCGGUUAAAUCUGUACGCUUAACGUACAGGCUGCCGGAAAUACUGCAGAUCUAGGGAGUGGGAGAGGUAGACGGUACUCGGGAGGAAGUGGUAAAAUGCUUUGAUCUCUCGAUGACCACCUGUGGCGAAGGCGGUCUACCAGAACACGUCCGACGGUGAGGGAUGAAAGCUGGGGGAGCAAACCGGAUUAGAAACCCGAGUAGUCC
rnacentral:rRNA from 1 species